GUGUUUCGAACUAUAUUCCUAGCGGGCAAGGUUUUUUCAAAAAAUGAAAAAAAUCAUAAUCAGUCUAGGUAAUAAAAAUUAAAAAAAAAAAAAAAAUUGUAAUAAUUUUGUUAAUUUUUUACAAUAUUUUUUUUUAUUUAUAC